CGCGCACACACCGCCCGUCACUCUCCCCAAACCAAUCAGUCAUCCUAUAAAUAAUAUCUUUUAUCGGUAAAGGGGAGGCAAGUCGUAACAUGGUAAGUGUACCGGAAGGUGCACUUGGGAAAAU
rnacentral:rRNA from 1 species